rnacentral:rRNA from 1 species
UACGUAGGGGGCAGGCGUUGUCCGGAUUUAUUGGGCGUAAAGAGCGUGUAGGCGGCCAUACAGGUCAGCUGUGAAAACUCGAGGCUCAACCUCGAGACGUCGGUUGAAACCGUAUGGCUAGAGUCCGGAAGAGGAGAGUGGAAUUCCCGGUGUAGCGGUGAAAUGCGCAGAUAUCGGGAAGAACACCCGUGGCGAAGGCGGCUCUCUGGGACGGUACUGACGCUGAGACGCGAAAGCGUGGGGAGCGAACAGG